UGUGAUGGAAACUAUUUAACCACACUUCAUCUGGAGAAAGCAAUUUGAUUAGAACUGCACUGAGAGGUUCAGAAGCUCCUCAUACUAAAGCAAUUCAUCUUGAUAUGAUUUGAUGACUUGAAACAGUAUGUCAACACCCAUGAAGAGGACUUUAUAGAGAUACAACUGCACUGAAGGAACCAAACUGUUGCCUACCUGAAUGAAGAGUCCCAGAUCAAGAAGCAUUGAUCAGAUUAUGUCAAGCUCUUUCUGACAGAAGCAUACAAAUGAAAUAUUGCUAAUACCAG